CGCCGGCUAACUACGUGCCAGCAGCCGCGGUAAUACGUAGGGCGCGAGCGUUGUCCGGAAUUAUUGGGCGUAAAGAGCUUGUAGGCGGUUUGUCGCGUCUGCUGUGAAAGGCCGGGGCUUAACCCCGUGUAUUGCAGUGGGUACGGGCAGACUAGAGUGCAGUAGGGGAGACUGGAAUUCCUGGUGUAGCGGUGGAAUGCGCAGAUAUCAGGAGGAACACCGAUGGCGAAGGCAGGUCUCUGGGCUGUAACUGACGCUGAGAAGCGAAAGCAUGGGGAGCGAACAGGAUUAGAUACCCUGGUAGUCCAUGCCGUAAACGUUGGGCACUAGGUGUGGGGGACAUUCCACGUUUUCCGCGCCGUAGCUAACGCAUUAAGUGCCCCGCCUGGGGAGUACGGCCGCAAGGCUAAAACUCAAAGAAAUUGACGGGGGCCCGCACAAGCGGCGGAGCAUGCGGAUUAAUUCGAUGCAACGCGAAGAACCUUACCAAGGCUUGACAUAUACUGGACCGCAUCAGAGAUGGUGUUUCCCUUCGGGGCUGGUAUACAGGUGGUGCAUGGUUGUCGUCAGCUCGUGUCGUGAGAUGUUGGGUUAAGUCCCGCAACGAGCGCAACCCUCGUUCUAUGUUGCCAGCACGUUAUGGUGGGGACUCAUAGGAGACUGCCGGGGUCAACUCGGAGGAAGGUGGGGAUGACGUCAAAUCAUCAUGCCCCUUAUGUCUUGGGCUUCACGCAUGCUACAAUGGCCGGUACAGAGGGUUGCGAUACUGUGAGGUGGAGCUAAUCCCUAAAAGCCGGUCUCAGUUCGGAUUGGGGUCUGCAACUCGACCCCAUGAAGUCGGAGUCGCUAGUAAUCGCAGAUCAGCAACGCUGCGGUGAAUACGUUCCCGGGCCUUGUACACACCGCCCGUCAAGUCACGAAAGUUGGUAACACCCAAAGCCGGUGGCCUAACCCUUUGGGAGGGAGCCGUCUAAAUGGUGG
rnacentral:rRNA from 1 species